UACGUAGGGUGCGAGCGUUGUCCGGAAUUAUUGGGCGUAAAGAGCUCGUAGGCGGCUUGUCGCGUCGGGUGUGAAAGCCCGGGGCUUAACUCCGAGUCUGCAUUCGAUACGGGCAGGCUAGAGUUCGGUAGGGGAGAUCGGAAUUCCUGGUGUAGCAGUGAAAUGCGUAGAUAUCAGGAGGAAUACCGAUGGCGAAGGCAGCUCACUGGGACGGUACUGACGCUGAGACGCGAAAGCGUGGGGAGCAAACAGG
rnacentral:rRNA from 1 species